rnacentral:rRNA from 1 species
AACGAACGCUGGCGGCAUGCCUAGCACAUGCAAGUCGAACGAGACCUUCGGGUCUAGUGGCGCACGGGUGCGUAACGCGUGGGAACCUGCCCUUAGGUUCGGAAUAACUCCCCGAAAGGGGUGCUAAUACCGGAUAAUGUCUUAGGACCAAAGAUUUCUCGCCUUUGGAUGGGCCCGCGUUGGAUUAGCUAGUUGGUAGGGUAAAAGCCUACCAAGGCGACGAUCCAUAGCUGGUCUGAGAGGAUGAUCAGGCACACUGGGACUGAGACACGGCCCAGACUCCUACGGGACGCAGCAGUGUGGAAUAUUGGACGAUGGGCGAAAGCCUGAUCCAGCAAUGCCGCGUGAGUGAUGAAGGCCUUAGGGUUGUAAAGCUCUUUUACCCGGGAUGAUAAUGACAGUACCGGGAGAAUAAGCUCCGGCUAACUCCGUG